rfam:Cavia porcellus supercont2_14 genomic scaffold, whole genome shotgun sequence.
GGGAUAUAUCUCAAUGGUAGAGAGCUUGCCUAUCAUGCAAGAGGACCUGGGUUCAAGCCCCAGUGCCACCA